rnacentral:tRNA from 2 species
GGAGAGGUGGCCGAGCGGUCGAAGGCGCUCGCCUGGAGAGCGAGUAAGCGGCUACAAAACCGCUUCGUGGGUUCAAAUCCCACCCUCUCCG